rnacentral:rRNA from 1 species
UACAGAGGGUGCAAGCGUUAAUCGGACUGACUGGGCGUAAAGGGCGUGUAGGCGGUUAAUGAAGUCAGAUGUGAAAUGGCAGGGCUUAACCUUGUCAGGUCAUUUGAAACUGGUUAACUAGAGGUUAGGAGAGAGAAGUGGAAUUUCCGGUGUAGCGGUGAAAUGCGUAGAUAUCGGAAGGAACAUCAGUGGCGAAGGCGACUUCUUGGCCUAAAACUGACGCUGAGGCGCGAAGGCGUGGGGAGCAAACAGG